rnacentral:rRNA from 1 species
GAUGAACGCUGGCGGCGUGCCUAACACAUGCAAGUCGAGCGAACAGACGAGGAGCUUGCUCCUCUGACGUUAGCGGCGGACGGGUGAGUAACACGUGGAUAACCUACCUAUAAGACUGGGAUAACUUCGCGAAACCGGAUCUAAUACCGGAUAAUAUAUUGAACCGCAUGGUUCAUUAGUGAAAGACGGUUUUGCUGUCACUUAUAGAUGGAUCCGCGCCGCAUUAGCUAGUUGGUAAGGUAACGGCUUACCAAGGCUACGAUGCGUAGCCGACCUGAGAGGAUGAUCGGCCACACUGGAACUGAGACACGGUCCAGACUCCUACGGGAGGCAGCAGUAGGGAAUUUUCGGCAAUGGGCGAAAGCCUGACGGAGCAACGCCGCGUGAGUGAUGAAGGUCUUCGGAUAGUAAAACUCUGUAAGUUGGGAAGAAGAAAAGUGUGAGUAACUAUGCACGUCUUGACGGUACCUAAUGAGAAAGCCACGGCUAACUACGUG